GACUGGCUCAGGAUGAACGCUAGCUACAGGCUUAACACAUGCAAGUCGAGGGGCAGCAUUUUAGUUUGCUUGCAAACUGAAGAUGGCGACCGGCGCACGGGUGAGUAACACGUAUCCAACCUGCCGAUAACUCCGGAAUAGCCUUUCGAAAGAAAGAUUAAUACCGGAUAGCAUACGAAUAUCGCAUGAUAUUUUUAUUAAAGAAUUUCGGUUAUCGAUGGGGAUGCGUUCCAUUAGUUUGUUGGCGGGG
rnacentral:rRNA from 1 species